GACCGCUCUACAACCAUGUGAACACUCUAGAACCAUGUGACCGCUCUACAACCACGUGAACACUCUAGAACCAUGUGAACACUCUAGAACCAUGUGACCGCUCUAGAACCAUGUGAACACUCUAGAACCAUGUGACCGCUCUACAACCACGUGACCGCUCUACAACCAUGUGAACACUCUAGAACCAUUUGAACACCCUAGAACCAUGUGAAAACUCUAGAACCAUGUGAACACUCUAGAACCAUGUGAACAUUCUAGAACCAUGUGACCACUCUAGAACCUUUUGAACAUUCUUGAACCAUGUGAACACUCUAGAACCAUGUGACCGCUCUAGAACCAUGUGAACACUCUAGAACCAUGUGACCGCUCUACAACCAUGUGAACACUCUAGAACCAUGUGACCGCUCUACAACCACGUGACCGCUCUACAACCAUGUGACCGCUCUACAACCACGUGACCGCUCUACAACCACGUGAACUCUAUAGAACCAUGUGAACACUCUAGAACCAUGUGACCGCUCUACAACCAUGUGAACACUCUAGAACCAUGUGACCGCUCUACAACCACGUGAACACUCUAGAACCAUGUGAACACUCUAGAACCAUGUGACCGCUCUAGAACCAUGUGAACACUCUAGAACCAUGUGACCGCUCUACAACCACGUGACCGCUCUACAACCACGUGACCGCUCUACAACCACGUGACCGCUCUACAACCACGUGAACUCUAUAGAACCAUGUGAACACUCUAGAACCAUGUGACCGCUCUACAACCAUGUGAACACUCUAGAACCAUGUGAACACUCUAGAACCAUGUGACCGCUCUACAACCAUGUGAACUCUAUAGAACCAUGUGAACACUCUAGAACCAUGCAUGUGAACUCUAUAGAACCAUGUGAACACUCUAGAACCAUGUGACCGCUCUAGAACGUGGCCUCUGUUGAACUUCCCACAUCAAGGGUCAGUGGAUGCCAUUCCAUAUUUGUUUCUGUCAAGUUCACUCUCUCACUCAUCUUCUUUCUCUCUCUCCCCCCCCCUCUCUCUCUGUCUCUCUCUCUCCUCCUGGACAGCUGUGUGUGUGUGUGGUUCCUCUCUGUCCUCAGGCCCUAUAUUACAGUCUGUACUGGGAACCAUUAACGACAUAUUCUAUAUUACUGUUUACCUGUUACCCUCUUCUGACUGUGCAGGUUGGUUGGUACUAUAAUAAUGCAUCUCGUGACCGGUAUAGAGGAUCUGAUCUAAUUGACUAUAGUCCAGGGAGGCACUUCCGUUUGAGUAUGUAGGACAUAAAUAAGAGGGUUAAAGUUCAAGGCACUAGAAAACUCAUUUGACUAUUUUGUUUUUCUAUGCACAUUUUGUUCCGUGUUUCAAUUUUGUUCUGUAUAGGCCAUAAUAUGUAUAUAAUACAAAUUAAAAAUACAUAAAUGCUGUAAAAAUGAAUAGCAAUAUGGAAGUCACCAUUUUCUUAUUGAGGGUAAUACUACCGUAGGCUCCAUGCAGAGAAGCAGAAGCUAAACAUGAAAUAUUAUAUUUUUUUAGUGAGGAGGGAGGGGGUUUGGUAUCCCAGUUAGGUGUCCUCCUCUGUGGGGAGGGGGGGUUUUGGUAUCCCAGUUAGGUGUCCUCCUCUGUGGGGAGGGAGGGGGGUUUGGUAUCCCAGUUAGGUGUCCUCCUCUGUGGGGAGGGAGGGGGGUUUGGUAUCCCGGUAGGUGUCCUCCUCUGUGGGGAGGGGG
ensembl:lncRNA